UUGGCUUGUGUAUCCUGAGCAUUUCAUGGGC
rnacentral:piRNA from 1 species